AUCCCAUGAUGUGGACAUCUUCUUAGUAGGUAUUUAAAUCUUUCCCACGUUUCAUACAAGGAUGCACCUUCAAAUUGUGUGAAUGAGGUUAUAUCAUUUCUUAGUUU
rnacentral:snoRNA from 1 species